AGCGUUGUCCGGAUUUAUUGGGCGUAAAGAGCGUGUAGGCGGCCAGACAGGUCCGUUGUGAAAACUCGAGGCUCAACCUCGAGACGUCGACGGAAACCGUCUGGCUAGAGUCCGGAAGAGGAGUGUGGAAUUCCUGGUGUAGCGGUGAAAUGCGCAGAUAUCAGGAAGAACACCUAUGGCGAAGGCAGCACUCUGGGACGGUACUGACGCUGAGACGCGAAAGCGUGGGGAGCGAACAGG
rnacentral:rRNA from 1 species